rnacentral:tRNA from 1 species
GCUCAGCAGUUAAAGCAUUGGCCUGUGGACCCAAGGGGCCUGGGUUCGAUUCCCAG